AUCGACGGUAACGGGUCCAGCUUGCUGGAUGCCGACGAGCGGCGGAUGGGUGAGUAAUGCAUAGGAAUCUGCCCAGUCGUGGGGGAUAACCUGGGGAAACCCAGGCUAAUACCGCAUACGUCCUACGGGAGAAAGCGGGGGCUCUUCGGACCUCGCGCGAUUGGAUGAGCCUAUGUCGGAUUAGCUAGUUGGUGAGGUAACGGCUCACCAAGGCGACGAUCCGUAGCUGGUCUGAGAGGAUGAUCAGCCACACCGGGACUGAGACACGGCCCGGACUCCUACGGGAGGCAGCAGUGGGGAAUAUUGGACAAUGGGCGCAAGCCUGAUCCAGCCAUGCCGCGUGUGUGAAGAAGGCUUUCGGGUUGUAAAGCACUUUCAGUGGGGAAGAAAGCGUGCCGGCCAAUACCCGGUACGGACGACAUCACCCACAGAAGAAGCACCGGCUAACUCCGUGCCAGCAGCCGCGGUAAUACGGAGGGUGCGAGCGUUAAUCGGAAUUACUGGGCGUAAAGCGCGCGUAGGCGGCUAAGUAAGCCGGUUGUGAAAGCCCCGGGCUCAACCUGGGAAUGGCAUCCGGAACUGUUUAGCUAGAGUGCAGGAGAGGAAGGUAGAAUUCCCGGUGUAGCGGUGAAAUGCGUAGAGAUCGGGAGGAAUACCAGUGGCGAAGGCGGCCUUCUGGACUGACACUGACGCUGAGGUGCGAAAGCAUGGGUAGCAAACAGGAUUAGAUACCCUGGUAGUCCAUGCCGUAAACGAUGUCGACUAGCCGUUGGGUCCCUUGAGGACUUAGUGGCGCAGUUAACGCGAUAAGUCGACCGCCUGGGGAGUACGGCCGCAAGGUUAAAACUCAAAUGAAUUGACGGGGGCCCGCACAAGCGGUGGAGCAUGUGGUUUAAUUCGAUGCAACGCGAAGAACCUUACCUACCCUUGACAUCCUGCGAACCCUCCGGAGACGGAGGGGUGCCUUCGGGAGCGCAGAGACAGGUGCUGCAUGGCUGUCGUCAGCUCG
rnacentral:rRNA from 1 species